rnacentral:rRNA from 1 species
GACGAACGCUGGCGGCGUGCCUAAUACAUGCAAGUAGAACGCACAGUUUAUACCGUAGCUUGCUACACCAUAGACUGUGAGUUGCGAACGGGUGAGUAACGCGUAGGUAACCUGCCUGGUAGCGGGGGAUAACUAUUGGAAACGAUAGCUAAUACCGCAUAAUAUUAAUUAUUGCAUGAUAAUUAAUUGAAAGGUGCAAUUGCACCACUACCAGAUGGACCUGCGUUGUAUUAGCUAGUAGGUGAGGUAACGGCUCACCUAGGCGACGAUACAUAGCCGACCUGAGAGGGUGAUCGGCCACACUGGGACUGAGACACGGCCCAGACUCCUACGGGAGGCAGCAGUAGGGAAUCUUCGGCAAUGGACGAAAGUCUGACCGAGAAACGCCGCGUGAGUGAAGAAGGUUUUCGGAUCGUAAAGCUCUGUUGUAAGAGAAGAACGGGUGUGAGAGUGGAAAGUUCACACUGUGACGGUAGCUUACCAGAAAGGGACGGCUAACUACGUG